rnacentral:RNase_P_RNA from 1 species
GAGGAAAGUCCGGGCUCCAUAGGGCGCGGUGGUGGGUAACGCCCACCGCCCGAGCAGUCGGGUAGGGAAAGUGCCACAGAAAACAGACCGCCACGAUCGAUUUCGUCGUUCGUGGUAAGGGUGAAACGGCGAGGUAAGAGCUCACCAGCAGGCCGGGUGACCGGCCUGGCUUGGCAAACCCCACCAGGAGCAAGACCAAAUAAGGAAGCAAGGAGUUGCCUGUCGUCAUGCGACGGGCGGCGACUGACGGAUUGGCCCGAUCCGCUAUGACUUCCGGGUAGGUCGCUAGAAACAUCGGGCAACCGAUGUUCAAGAGAAAUGGUCAUCCGAGAACCAACCGGUUUUCGACAGAACCCGGCUUA